UUUAGCACUAAAUGAAAGACAGAAACACCAACAUGUCAUGGUCUUAAGAGCAUUGAGCUCAAUUUGAACUGUUUUCACUCAGGAAAAUCAAUACAUUUUUUUUCUGCUUCAUUUGUUUACUACUUGCAAUUAAGUGACUCAAAAAUAAUGUAAUUAAGUAAAUACUGGUAGCUCUGUCACUAUUAAUUUUAUAACUUCUGCCUAGGGUUUUGAGAUCUAGAUCUCUACUAUAAUAUCAAAUAGCAUUUCCAAGGACAUGUUGUAAAACAAGCAGUGAAUAGGAUCUUUAAGUCAUUGAUGUUUGGCUGUAAGUUUUAACUCAAGGAGAUAGUAUUCAAUUGAUUUAGAAACAUUUCUAAGUUUUCCUAUUUUUAACUUAAAAUGAGUUGCACGCAAAUAGCAAUGAAUUUUUUUUUAAAUCAACCUUUUCUGUUCAAGAAGUAUAUAAAAUAUUGAUUAUUGUAUUUUUACAAGUCAAUGAAAUGACAAUUAAUGUAUGUUGAAGAUAAAACAUUUCAAUUAUUUAUCCACUUUGAUAAUUCAACCACCUGUCAUUCUUUUAUUGUAAAUGACUUAAAGUAAUGAAUAUACACAGAAUACAAUUGUAUAAUAAAAAUGUCCAAUAAAUAAUCUGAACAAGAUUAUGUGAGCUCCUGAAUAAUAAAUGCAAUGUAAACAAAAAUGUUGAAAGUACCACAGUAUAACAAGUUCUCAAUAUAUAGUAUUUUGAUACAAUAAUGUUUGACAUUUUAUUUUUGGUUAUUGAAAAGAAGUGAACUAUCUGUAAAUAACAUGAGAAUCUAAAAAGUACCUGUUAAUAACAUGAGAAUCUAAUAUCAUUGAUACAACACAAACUACAUCCUAUCAGUACAAAUAAUUAACACUGAAAAAAAAAACAAAAAAAAACAACAGACCAGUCACCUGAAUGGUGCCGUGAAAACCUAUGCCACCAGUCAGGAAAUGUUUCAAGAGGAAGACCAUGUUGUCUUAUUCCAUAAGAAACAAAAAAUCUAAGACACUACAUUGCAAAACAUAUUUACACAAGUUGCUAAUGUUGAAAUGAUCAUAUCUGAGAAAGUAGUAUAGCCAACACUAGGGGGAUAGUGGUGUUCUUAGUAAAUAUUCUUAGAAGUAAUCAAAUAGCUCCUCUCUCACCUUACAAGUGGCAUGAUGAAUGAAUUGGUUGAAUGACUUGAUUGCAAGAGGCUCAAGUUGGGAUCUCCAUAGAGUCUGUGAUUUUCUAUUUGAAAAAAAUGUAUUCAAGCUGUAUUCAACAACUAAUAGAUACCACUUUUAGGACUGCAAUAGCGAAAAAAAGGACCAUUAAACAUGCUAAAAAAUGAUAGCAAUUAGAGAUCCACUAUACAAAUCAUACAAUUCAAACCACUGUUUUAGACCUUUUUACAAUGCCUUUAUUCAACUUUUAAAUUCUUCAUGGUUUUAAAAACCAAAAACCUGAAUGAUCACAUCUCAAAAUCAGUUCUUAAGGUUUUCCUAAGAAUUUUGACAGUUUAUUUGAAUCUUUGAAAAAGUUUAAUGGCCACACAGGGAAUAAUUUUAAAAAAUUUAAAUUUGGUCUUGAGAUCUAGACAAUCUAAAAUAAUCUAAAUCUUGGACAAACAUAUGUCAGUGGGUAUUCCCGCAUGUCUUCAGGAAAGAGUUUUAUAAAUAAAUAGAUAAAUAAAUUCUAAGUCUGGAUCUGUAGGUCUAUCACCAAACUAGAAUCUUCUAUACCAUAUACCUAGAUACAGUAUUCUAGUCUAGACUGCUGUCUUUUAAUGUUGCCAUCUGGAUUUAUAUACCAAACUAGAUAUUUAUUUACUAAUAUGCGCUUAACCAGGAUUUUUUCAAAACGGGAGGGGGGGG